UACGUAGGUGUCGAGCGUUGUCCGGAUUUAUUGGGCGUAAAGAGCCCGCAGGCGGCUUGGCAAGUUUGAGGUGAAAUCUCCCGGCUUAACUGGGAGGGGGCCUCGAAAACUGCCAGGCUUGAGGCAUGGAGAGGGAUGCGGAAUUCCCGGUGUAGUGGUGAAAUGCGUAGAUAUCGGGAGGAACACCAGUGGCGAAGGCGACUACCUGGUCUGGCAUUGACGCUCAUGUGCGAAAGCGUGGGGAGCAAACAGG
rnacentral:rRNA from 1 species